GACGAACGCUGGCGGCGUGCCUAAUACAUGCAAGUUGGACGCUUCUUUCUUAUCGAACUUCGGUUCACCAAGAAAGAAGAGUAGCGAACGGGUGAGUAACACGUGGGUAAGCUGCCAAUCAGCGGGGGAUAACACUUGGAAACAGGUGCUAAUACCGCAUAAUACUUUUUCCCUCAUGAGUAAAAGUUGAAAGGAGCUUUUGCGUCACUUAUGGAUGGACCCGCGGUGCAUUAGCUAGUUGGUAGGGUAACGGCCUACCAAGGCAACGAUGCAUAGCCGACCUGAGAGGGUGAUCGGCCACACUGGGACUGAGACACGGCCCAGACUCCUACGGGAGGCAGCAGUAGGGAAUCUUCGGCAAUGGACGAAAGUCUGACCGAGCAACGCCGCGUGAGUGAAGAAGGUUUUCGGAUCGUAAAACUCUGUUGUUAGAGAAGAACAAGGAUGAGAAGAGAAUGUUCAUCCCUUGACGGUAUCUAACCAGAAAGCCACGGCUAACUACGUGCCAGCAGCCGCAGUAA
rnacentral:rRNA from 1 species